GAUGAACGCUGGCGGCGUGCCUAAUACAUGCAAGUCGAGCGAACAGACGAGGAGCUUGCUCCUCUGACGUUAGCGGCGGACGGGUGAGUAACACGUGGAUAACCUACCUAUAAGACUGGGAUAACUUCGGGAAACCGGAGCUAAUACCGGAUAAUAUAUUGAACCGCAUGGUUCAAUAGUGAAAGACGGUUUUGCUGUCACUUAUAGAUGGAUCCGCGCCGCAUUAGCUAGUUGGUAAGGUAACGGCUUACCAAGGCAACGAUGCGUAGCCGACCUGAGAGGGUGAUCGGCCACACUGGAACUGAGACACGGUCCGGACUCCUACGGGAGGCAGCAGUAGGGAAUCUUCCGCAAUGGGCGAAAGCUUGACGGAGCAACGCCGCGUGAGUGAUGAAGGUCUUCGGAUCGUAAAACUCUGUUAUUAGGAAGAACAAAUGUGUAAGUAACUAUGCACGUCUUGACGGUACCUAAUCAGAAAGCCACGGCUAACUACGUG
rnacentral:rRNA from 1 species